AAUACCUCGUGUUUUCUAUGACGUUACAUUGGCCUUAAAAGCAUUGGGAGUAUUCAUUUUCUCGGCUGAAGUUGUUAGACAUUCGACACAAGAACGCCAGUGGGAAGUCUACAGGUUUUUGUUGGAGGAAAGUCGGGAAUUUCCAUUGGACAGCAGUAAAGCAAGAAGUCAGAUUGUGGACAAAGUUAGAAGAACAUUGAUGGGUUGGUAAUUUGGUUCAGUUCAUAUCAAAUAAAAAACACUAUUUGAGUAUUUGUGUUGCUGUCAUUUAAAUUUGGUUUAGGUAUUAGUUAUUUAACUAAUCAUGUAAAUUUGGCACUGUGGUAGCUGAUGGUGUUUCUGACUGAGGAUUGUUCCGAGGAAUUCUGCUAGUACCCUUGUUAUUGCAGACCUACCGGAGAAAUGUUGGUUUUCGAAACUGUUAGUGCUGAGUCGGCUACAAUUAUAUCUCAAGUGUGCUUCUAGGAAAUUCAAACCUAUCCAAUCAACAAAUCCAUAAGCAAUUACCACAUGAAGCAAUGCUGGAAUAACAGAAAGGUAAACCAGUGGCAUCACUACAGAUUGUGUCUGUAGAAACCUCAAGAUGUUUUGCAAGAUGCUAUAUGCAGAUUGUGUCUUCUAGGAAAUUGUUAGAUAAUCACUGCAAACGCAGUCCUAUAGUGAAAGAAUUGUUAUACUUUGCAGCAGACUGAGGCCACCUUAAACUGUAGAUAUGUAAUGUUUGAAACUUGUAGUCUUUGUUUCUUGAUGUAAAUUUUCAUGAUUUUGUAUUAAUGUAUAAAUUGGAGAAUCA